CCGGCUGUACUUCCAGCCGUAGCCUAUCGGCACAUGCGGGAUUGGUAACGAACCCGUGUGAAGCUGCCGGGACAACGCAACCUGUGAAUAAAUCCACAAGGCCGAACCGUGAGGUAACGCCAAGUCUGCCAGUAUCAAGGCGGUAGGGA
rnacentral:ncRNA from 1 species